GACGAACGCUGGCGGCGUGCUUAACACAUGCAAGUCGAACGGAAAGGCCCUGCUUUUGUGGGGUGCUCGAGUGGCGAACGGGUGAGUAACACGUGAGUAACCUGCCCUUGACUUUGGGAUAACUUCAGGAAACUGGGGCUAAUACCGGAUAGGAGCUCCUGCUGCAUGGUGGGAGUUGGAAAGUUUCGGCGGUUGGGGAUGGACUCGCGGCUUAUCAGCUUGUUGGUGGGGUAGUGGCUUACCAAGGCUUUGACGGGUAGCCGGCCUGAGAGGGUGACCGGCCACAUUGGGACUGAGAUACGGCCCAGACUCCUACGGGAGGCAGCAGUGGGGAAUAUUGCACAAUGGGCGGAAGCCUGAUGCAGCAACGCCGCGUGCGGGAUGACGGCCUUCGGGUGGUAAACCGCUUUCGCCUGUGACGAAGCGUGAGGGACGGUAAUGGGUAAAGAAGCACCGGCUAACUACGU
rnacentral:rRNA from 1 species